AUUGAACGCUGGCGGCAGGCCUAACACAUGCAAGUCGAACGAGUGGCGGACGGGUGAGUAAUGUCUGGGAAACUGCCUGAUGGAGGGGGAUAACUACUGGAAACGGUAGCUAAUACCGCAUACCAUCGGUUGGGCCCAGAUGGGAUUAGCUAGUGGGUGGGGUAACGGCUCACCUGGGCGACGAUCCCUAGCUGGUCUGAGAGGAGGACCAGCAAAACUGGAACGGAGAAAGGGUCCAGACUCCUACGGGGGGCAGCAGUGGGAAAUAUUGCACAAUGGGCGCAAGCCUGAGGAAGCAAUGCCGCGUGUAGGAAGAGGGCCUUCGGGUUGUAAAGUACUUUCAGCGGGGAGGCGUUACCCGCAGAAGAAGCACCGGCUAACUCCGUGCCAGCAGCCGCGGUAAUAC
rnacentral:rRNA from 1 species